rnacentral:rRNA from 1 species
CAGUAGCCGCGGGAAUACGAAGGGGGCUAGCGUUGUUCGGAUUUACUGGGCGUAAAGGCGCGUAGGCGGGCGAUUAAGUCAGGGGUGAAAUCCCAAGGCUCAACCUUGGAACUGCCUUUGAUACUGAUUGUCUUGAGUUCGAGAGAGGUAAGUGGAUCUGCGAGUGUAGAGGCGAAAUUCGUAGAUAUUCGCAAGAACACCAGUGGCGAAGGCGGCUUACUGGCUCGAUACUGACGCUGAGGCGCGAAAGCGUGGGGAGCAAACAGGAUUAGAGACCCCUGUAGUCCCUGUCUCUUAUACA